rnacentral:rRNA from 1 species
UACGUAGGGUGCAAGCGUUGUCCGGAAUUAUUGGGCGUAAAGGGCUCGUAGGCGGUCCAUCGCGUCGGGAGUGAAAAGCUGGGGCUUAACCCCAGUCCUGCUUCCGAUACGGGCAGACUAGAGGUAUGCAGGGGAGAACGGAAUUCCUGGUGUAGCGGUGAAAUGCGCAGAUAUCAGGAGGAACACCGGUGGCGAAGGCGGGUCUCUGGGCCGAAAUUGACGCUGAGGAGCGAAAGCGUGGGGAGCAAACAGG